rnacentral:rRNA from 1 species
AGAGUUUGAUCCUGGCUCAGGAUGAACGCUGGCGGCGUGCUUAACACAUGCAAGUCGAACGGACCCAUAUUGAAACCUAGUGAUAUAUGGGUUAGUGGCGGACGGGUGAGUAACGCGUGGGUAACCUGCCUUACACAGGGGGAUAACACUUAGAAAUAGGUGCUAAAACCGCAUAAGCGCACAGCUUCGCAUGAAGCGGUGUGAAAAACUCCGGUGGUGUAAGAUGGACCCGCGUCUGAUUAGCUUGUUGGCGGGGUAACGGCCCACCAAGGCGACGAUCAGUAGCCGGCCUGAGAGGGCGGACGGCCACAUUGGGACUGAGACACGGCCCAGACUCCUACGGGAGGCAGCAGUGGGGAAUAUUGCACAAUGGGGGAAACCCUGAUGCAGCGACGCCGCGUGAGUGAAGAAGUAAUUCGUUACGUAAAGCUCUAUCAGCAGGGAAGAAAAUGACGGUACCUGAGUAAGAAGCCCCGGCUAACUACGUGCCAGCAGCCGCGGUAAUACGUAGGGGGCAAGCGUUAUCCGGAUUUACUGGGUGUAAAGGGAGCGUAGACGGUGCGCCAAGUCUGGAGUGAAAUGCCGCAGCUUAACUGCGGAACUGCUUUGGAAACUGGCGAACU